rnacentral:lncRNA from 1 species
AUUUGGCUGACCACCUUUGGCUCUCCACCUUUCAUCAGGAGAGAGGAAUAACAAAAAGAACCUCUUGCAAACCGUUUUGAAACCAUUUCCCAGCAUUAUUGCAAUGAAAUGAAUGGGAAGGUAAGGUGCUAUGCUCACAAAAGUAGCAGCAUCCUGGAGACAGGUGGAAGUUCCUCUGGCAUCUCGAGUUUGGGCUGCUGAUAGAAUGAUUUGAGACCUCCUGCAUGGCAAGGUAACUUUGCCUUCACAGGCUUGCAGAGAGGAACAGGAUUUGCCUCUGCAGCAUCAGGGAGAGAAAGGAUGGGACCAGAUCCAAACCACAGCACUGAUGAUCAAGGGUAUUAUGAACUGCAUGUGCCAUGGGAGGUCACCCGGGAAGGCCUGUGUGCUCGAGAGGAGCACCUCAUUUGCCAUCUUAUUCAUACCUCUCAAGAUUUUUAAGAUGAAUUAUUUAUCAAAGAAGCACCUGUCAGAAGUUUGGACAGCACAUGUCUUCUUUAAUUAUUCCUGACUUUUUUCCUCCACUGAAGCACAUGGUGAGUUUCUUGAGGAGAGAGUAAAGGUGCUUUGUCUUCAGGAUAUCACAGAAGAGACUGAAGAAAAAUCUCUCUCUAUUUGCUUGUGUGCCAGCAGUGACUAAAGACUACAAUGUCCUGAUAUCUGUGCCACAGAUCCCUGCUCAGAUAUUCAGCUCCCUACACGUGGGAGACUCCAGCCAGCACCAGCAGGAGCUGAAAUGUGCUGGACUGACAGUUCUGGAUGCUGAAGGUCUUUUUGUCACGUAAUCUGCAUUUUAAUAUACUAGACAAGACACCAUCCAGUAUCAUCACGGUCUUGGUAACGAGGGGGGACGUGUUGAGAGGACACGAGAAUUAAUUACUCCAGCACUGAGAUCAGGCACGUGUGAGGGGAGAGUUCCAGUGGGAAGGCUUCACGUGCACCUCCAUCUGUGGACUGAACUGGCAGCUUCAGCCUAAGUUUUUCCUGUUCUUUUAAUUUUCCAGAGAAGACUUCAGUGAUGCUCCAGGUGCCUCUCAGCAGGGGAGUCAGCCAGCCCACAUUUACUGCAUGCAGAAAGACCAGAACACAAUAAAUUAUUUUUCAAUCAAAUUUAUAUUGUUUAU